UACGUAGGGUGCAAGCGUUAAUCGGAAUUACUGGGCGUAAAGCGCGCGUAGGCGGCUUGACAAGUCGAGUGUGAAAUCCCCGGGCUUAACCUGGGAGCUGCAUUCGAAACUGUCUUGCUAGAGUAUGGGAGAGGGAAGUGGAAUUUCAGGUGUAGCGGUGAAAUGCGUAGAUAUCUGAAGGAACAUCAGUGGCGAAAGCGACUUCCUGGACCAAUACUGACGCUCAGGUGCGAAAGCGUGGGGAGCAAACAGGG
rnacentral:rRNA from 1 species